AUUGAACGCUGGCGGCAGGCCUAACACAUGCAAGUCGAACGAGUGGCGGACGGGUGAGUAAUGUCUGGGAAACUGCCCGAUGGAGGGGGAUAACUACUGGAAACGGUAGCUAAUACCGCAUACCAUCGGAUGUGCCCAGAUGGGAUUAGCUCGUAGGUGGGGUAAAGGCUCACCUAGGCGACGAUCCUUAGCUGGACUGAGAGGAUGACCAGCCACACUGGAAAUGAGACACGGUCCAGACCCCUACGGGAGGCAGCAUUGGGGAAUAUUGCACAAGGGGCGAAAGCCUGAUGCAGCCAUGCCGCGUGGAAGAAGAAGGCCUUCGGGUUGUAAAGUACUUUCAGCGGGGAGGCGUUACCCGCAGAAGAAGCACCGGCUAACUCCGUGCCAGCAGCCGCGGUAAUAC
rnacentral:rRNA from 1 species